rnacentral:rRNA from 1 species
CGCGGCGCAUUAGCUAGUUGGUGAGGUAACGGCUCACCAAGGCAACGAUGCGUAGCCGACCUGAGAGGGUGAUCGGCCACACUGGGACUGAGACACGGCCCAGACUCCUACGGGAGGCAGCAGUAGGGAAUCUUCCGCAAUGGACGAAAGUCUGACGGAGCAACGCCGCGUGAGUGAUGAAGGUUUUCGGAUCGUAAAACUCUGUUGUUAGGGAAGAACAAGUACCGUUCGAAUAGGGCGGUACCUUGACGGUACCUAACCAGAAAGCCACGGCUAACUACGUGCCAGCAGCCGCGGUAAUACGUAGGUGGCAAGCGUUGUCCGGAAUUAUUGGGCGUAAAGCGCGCGCAGGCGGUUUCUUAAGUCUGAUGUGAAAGCCCCCGGCUCAACCGGGGAGGGUCAUUGGAAACUGGGGAACUUGAGUGCAGAAGAGGAGAGUGGAAUUCCACGUGUAGCGGUGAAAUGCGUAGAGAUGUGGAGGAACACCAGUGGCGAAGGCGACUCUCUGGUCUGUAACUGACGCUGAGGCGCGAAAGCGUGGGGAGCGAACAGGAUUAGAUACCCUGGUAGUCCACGCCGUAAACGAUGAGUGCUAAGUGUUAGAGG